GUUUGCUUAUUUUAGGGUAUUGCGUAAGCGUUUCUAAAAGCGGUAUAUUUUGUAAUCUUGCUUUAAUUAGACUAUUUAGAAGGAUAUAGAAUUUUGUUUUGUAAAUAUAUAGGAAGGCGAGGCUAAGCUAAGUUUUAACUAGAUUUCACAAGCGAAGAGAAUUUGAUUUUAACGUGUUCACUCAAGUGUGACGAGGCAGUGUUUAUCGAAGCUGGCGGAGGCCGUGUGAAUUUACAAGUUGAGUGAAGCUGGUGGAGGCCGUGAUUGUCCUCAGUGGAUUUCAACCGUACUUCAAGACUGUCGCAAGACACAGACACAAAGUAUUUCCUGAAGAGAACGUCGACUCAUUGCAAAUCGUUGACGAUACUUCGAAAUUAUGAGCACUGGUAGAUUGUCAACUGUUUGAAGAACAAGGAAGAUCGCUGCCUGUUGUCGCUUCCUGAUCGAUGUCCCUUGCCAGAAAAGAGAAAGCAAAUACCUUCACCAAAUACCGAGACGAUGGCUCAUCGCGUAAAACAAGAACAUUCUCCAACCUUUUCGCACAGUAAAAGAAAUAUCUUUCAAAGUCUAACUUAAAGUAGAGGCAAAGGGUUGCAUUUAAGACCAUUUAAUGAGUUUUAAGACUAAGGAAAGUAGAUAUACUGCGGGACUUUUCAAAAGCCUUCAGCUGCCAACAUUUCUGCGUCAUCACUUUCGAUUUCUUCCAAAAUAAUGUCCACCACAGCUUAUGGUAUAUUUUGGAAGACACUAAGGAGAAAUUAAAAUACAAUGUCCUAUGUAUUGAGAAGAAAAUGCAAAGAAUACGACUUUAUCUGCUGUCAAUUAACGGGUUGUAUCCCUGAAUAUAGGUAAUGCUGAAGUUUAUGUAAAUUCUGUUUGGAAACAGUUUCCGCUUCAGUUCUUUCACACGUCCUAGAUUGUUCCUAUUUUCAAUGGAUAAACAACACUUGUGCUAAUAUUAAAUUAACUACAUCGUUCGUUUACAAUUGCUACAAUGCGAUGAUUCUUCAACAACUAGUCGCAGGUUUUUGUCUUUUAAAUCUGCAUUAGUAAAUGGUCAGACAAAUAAUUUCGUCUCGUCUCCAUGUCUAAAAAUAA
rnacentral:misc_RNA from 1 species